rnacentral:rRNA from 1 species
GAUGAACGCUGGCGGCGUGCCUAAUACAUGCAAGUCGAGCGAACAGACGAGGAGCUUGCUCCUCUGACGUUAGCGGCGGACGGGUGAGUAACACGUGGAUAACCUACCUAUAAGACUGGGAUAACUUCGGGAAACCGGAGCUAAUACCGGAUAACAUAUUGAACCGCAUGGUUCAAUAGUGAAGGACGGUUUUGCUGUCACUUAUAGAUGGAUCCGCGCCGCAUUAGCUAGUUGGUAAGGUAACGGCUUACCAAGGCAACGAUGCGUAGCCGACCUGAGAGGGUGAUCGGCCACACUGGAACUGAGACACGGUCCAGACUCCUACGGGAGGCAGCAGUAGGGAAUCUUCCGCAAUGGGCGAAAGCUUGACGGAGCAACGCCGCGUGAGUGAUGAAGGUCUUCGGAUCGUAAAACUCUGUUAUUAGGGAAGAACAAAUGUGUAAGUAACUAUGCACGUCUUGACGGUACCUAAUCAGAAAGCCACGGCUAACUACGUG